GCUUCACUAGCUCAGUUGGCAGAGCGUCAGUCUCAUAACAGGGCCCUUCGGGGUCACGUGAUGAACUAUCUGAAGGUCGAGAGUUCGACCCUCCCGUGGAGCA
rfam:Babjeviella inositovora NRRL Y-12698 unplaced genomic scaffold BABINscaffold_2, whole genome shotgun sequence.